UUUUUUGGUUUUCAGUCCGACUGCCUUUUCUGCCGAAGGUUGGCCGUCGGGUUGGUGUGGAGCCUUUAAACGGAGCA